CCUACGGGUGGCAGCAGUGGGGAAUAUUGCGCAAUGGGCGCAAGCCUGACGCAGCGACGCCGCGUGAGGGAUGACGGUCUUCGGAUCGUAAACCUCUGUCAGCAGGGAAGAACGGUCACUGUGCUAAUCAGCAGUGAAUUGACGGUACCUGCAAAGGAAGCACCGGCUAACUCCGUGCCAGCAGCCGCGGUAAUACGGAGGGUGCGAGCGUUAAUCGGAAUUACUGGGCGUAAAGCGCUCGUAGGCGGUAUGUCAAGUCAAGGGUGAAAUCCCCGGGCUCAACGUGGGAACUGCCUUUGAAACUGGUAAACUGGAGUGUGUGAGAGGAUAGUGGAAUUCCAGGUGUAGGAGUGAAAUCCGUAGAGAUCUGGAGGAACAUCAGUGGCGAAGGCGGUCUGCUGGACAGCAACUGACGCUGAGGCGCGAAAGCGUGGGGAGCAAACAGGAUUAGAUACCCCGGUAGUC
rnacentral:rRNA from 1 species